CCUACGGGAGGCAGCAGUGGGGAAUAUUGCACAAUGGGGGAAACCCUGAUGCAGCGACGCCGCGUGAGUGAAGAAGUAAUUCGUUAUGUAAAGCUCUAUCAGCAGGGAAGAAAAUGACGGUACCUGAGUAAGAAGCCCCGGCUAACUACGUGCCAGCAGCCGCGGUAAUACGUAGGGGGCAAGCGUUAUCCGGAUUUACUGGGUGUAAAGGGAGCGUAGACGGCAGUGCAAGUCUGGAGUGAAAGGCGGGGGCUCAACCCCCGGACUGCUCUGGAAACUGUACGGCUGGAGUGCAGGAGAGGUAAGUGGAAUGCCGAGUGUAGCGGGGAAAUGCGGAGAUAUUAGGAGGAACACCAGUGGCGAAGGCGGCUUACUGGACUGUAACUGACGUUGAGGCUCGAAAGCGUGGGGAGCAAACAGGAUUAGAUACCCGUGUAGUC
rnacentral:rRNA from 1 species